AAUGCACCAAUUUGUAAGUCGCUCUGGAUAAGAGCGUCUGCUAAAUGACGUAUG
rfam:Salmo salar isolate Sally breed double haploid chromosome ssa19, whole genome shotgun sequence.